rnacentral:rRNA from 1 species
AAAGGAAUAGACGGGGACCCGCACAAGCAGCGGAGCAUGUGGUUUAAUUCGAAGCAACGCGAAAAACCUUACCAAGACUUGACAUCGUAUGACAUCUGCAGAGAUGCAGAGUUCCCUUCGGGGACAUAUAGACAGGUGGUGCAUGGUUGUCGUCAGCUCGUGUCGUGAGAUGUUGGGUUAAGUCCCGCAACGAGCGCAACCCUUAUCAACAGUUGCCAAUAUUAAGUUAGGAACUCUGUUGAGACUGCCGUGGAUAACACGGAGGAAGGUGGGGAUGACGUCAAAUCAUCAUGCCCCUUACGUCUUGGGCUACACACGUGCUACAAUGGCUAUUACAAAGAGCUGCGAUAUGGCAACAUAGAGCGAAUCUCAUAAAGAUAGUCUCAGUUCGGAUUGUGGGCUGCAACCCGCCCACAUGAAGCAGGAGUUGCUAGUAAUCCCGAAUCAGCAUGUCGGGGUGAAUGCGUUCCCGGGUCUUGUACACACCGCCCGU